AUCAUGCAUGAGAUAUUUGCCACUGUACACUAAGCAACUAACAAUCGAUCAAAUUAUUGGGAGUCACUAUAGGCAUCAUUUAAGAAGUUUGUGUGCACUCUUCUUUUAUAAAUAGGUAUUGCCCUUUGUAGUUAGAUACGCUCUUUCUCAACCUUAUCAUUUCCUAUGCAAUUCAUUCAAUAGUGAUAAAAUCUAUCGCUUGCUCUAUAUGUCGGCUUACAUUUGCAACAUGGUCUGUCAUUACAACAGCUGCCAUUAUAUUUCCAUCCAGACCCAAACUUCUUAUCACAUGUGAAACCUUUUCUUCCACAUGUACCGUUUGAAGCCAGGCAUAUUCCUGAAAGAACUGAAUGGUAUAGUACUGAUGGCAUGAAUUCAAAUAUUUAUUGUCAUAUAAACUCUGAACAAUAAGUUUGUGACAAAUAAUAUAAACAUAC
rnacentral:lncRNA from 1 species